CCGUUUCACCAAAGUCUCUGCUUCCUCAUCAAGAACGACGUCCUGACAGCGGCAAACUGAAGGAAUUCCAAGGAAACAGAGUGAUCAUCCUCAGACUCACUAUAAGAUAUGGUCAGAGUGCUGACUUCAGGCAGUCCUCCCAGUGGGCCAACCCAGGAGUGCAAUCAACGAUGAUUUCUGAGCAGCUUUUUGCAAAAACAAAUUCUGUCAGAAUAACUUUCAGGAGUGUCCAGCCUUAA
rnacentral:lncRNA from 1 species